AAAAAAAACUGCACAGCGCUGAGCUGAAGGGAGCGGUACUGAUGAAGCACUCAGGGCUUUGUCAGGAGCCACAGCAGACUCCUGUGUAUUAUCUACUUAAGGUGUUGGAGUGCUUACUGACAGACUCACAAAACGUUCAGGUGGUUGGUUGUGUUUAACAAAUCGUUUUUCUUCAACUGCAGAUGAAGUAAAUGUCAACACAGAUGUUCUCCUCCUGAGUUUACUACAAGCUCUAAUUAUGAAUGUUCUUCAUGUAUUUUUAGUUGUUGUAGUGUCUGAGCAAGGUGUUAAUGUUGGAUGUAUUGUCGGGCACCGCAGCAGCAGCAGCAGCAGCAGCAGCAGCAGCAGCAGCCGUCGUCAUGAGGAUCAGGCUCAAAGCAGAAGACCAGGCCAAAUGAGCAGCCAGGAUUGUUUUGGUCAGGUCUGAGACUCUCUCCACCUGGACUCUUUGUCAUUUGCAUGCUCCAGCUCCAACCCCAUUCCAUCCUCAUCAUCAUCAUCAUCAUCAGUAGGGUCUCAGGUACGUCUUUAAUGCUUCAUACUGCGAGCUCAUGCGUGCAUUGUUCAGACGUCAUUAAUCUUCAUCCUGUCUGGCAGGUUUUAAACAUUUGAUAAAUAGUCGAUCCGACUCCCUCC
ensembl:lncRNA